rnacentral:rRNA from 1 species
CCUACGGGAGACAGCAGUGAGGAAUAUUGGUCAAUGGACGAGAGUCUGAACCAGCCAAGUAGCGUGAAGGAUGACUGCCCUAUGGGUUGUAAACUUCUUUUAUAAAGGAAUAAAACGAGGCACGUGUGCCUUUUUGCAUGUACUUUAUGAAUAAGGAUCGGCUAACUCCGUGCCAGCAGCCGCGGUAAUACGGAGGAUCCGAGCGUUAUCCGGAUUUAUUGGGUUUAAAGGGAGCGUAGAUGGGUUGUUAAGUCAGUUGUGAAAGUUUGCGGCUCAACCGUAAAAUUGCAAUUGAUACUGGCAGUCUAGAGUACAGUUGAGGUAGGCGGAAUUCGUGGUGUAGCGGUGAAAUGCUUAGAUAGCACGAAGAACCCCGAUUGCGAAGGCAGCUUACUAAACUGUGACUGACAUUGAUGCUCGAAAGUGUGGGUAUCAAACAGGAUUAGAGACCCCAGUAGUC